CGGAGGAAUUCACCGGCUCCUGUUUGCUUUGUGACCCGGAUGUUUCGUGGAUCUCCGGCCAGCCCAUGUCAUGAACCAGGUCCAACACCAGCACCACAGGAUCUGAGGGUGGAAAUUAUCCAAGUUUUCUUAAACUGAGACAGACUGACCGAUGAGGGUGAUGAUGAGGCCCGGCAUGUCUGCUGCAGUGCUCUCCCUCCGCCGCCGCUCCGGUCUCUCA